GCAGACGGCGGAGAGCAGAGAGGGAGCGCGCCUUGGCUCGCUGGCCUUGGCGGCGGCUCCUCAGGAGAGCUGGGGCGCCCACGAGAGGAUCCCUCACCCGGGUCUCUCCUCAGGGAUGACAUCAUCCGUCCACCUCCUUGUCUUCAAGGACCACCUCCUCUCCAUGCUGAGCUGCUGCCAAGGGGCCUGCUGCCCAUCUACACCUCACGAGGGCACUAGGAGCACGGUUUCCUGGAUCCCACCAACAUACAAAGCAGCCACUCACUGACCCCCAGGACCAGGAUGGCAAAGGAUGAAGAGGACCGGAACUGACCAGCCAGCUGUCCCUCUUACCUAAAGACUUAAACCAAUGCCCUAGUGAGGGGGCAUUGGGCAUUAAGCCCUGACCUUUGCUAUGCUCAUACUUUGACUCUAUGAGUACUUUCCUAUAAGUCUUUGCUUGUGUUCACCUGCUAGCAAACUGGAGUGUUUCCCUCCCCAAGGGGGUGUCAGUCUUUGUCGACUGACUCUGUCAUCACCCUUAUGAUGUCCUGAAUGGAAGGAUCCCUUUGGGAAAUUCUCAGGAGGGGGACCUGGGCCAAGGGCUUGGCCAGCAUCCUGCUGGCAACUCCAAGGCCCUGGGUGGGCUUCUGGAAUGAGCAUGCUACUGAAUCACCAAAGGCACGCCCGACCUCUCUGAAGAUCUUCCUAUCCUUUUCUGGGGGAAUGGGGUCGAUGAGAGCAACCUCCUAGGGUUGUUGUGAGAAUUAAAUGAGAUAAAAGAGGCCUCAGGCAGGAUCUGGCAUAGAGGAGGUGAUCAGCAAAUGUUUGUUGAAAAGGUUUGACAGGUCAGUCCCUUCCCACCCCUCUUGCUUGUCUUACUUGUCUUAUUUAUUCUCCAACAGCACUCCAGGCAGCCCUUGUCCACGGGCUCUCCUUGCAUCAGCCAAGCUUCUUGAAAGGCCUGUCUACACUUGCUGUCUUCCUUCCUCACCUCCAAUUUCCUCUUCAACCCACUGCUUCCUGACUCGCUCUACUCCGUGGAAGCACGCUCACAAAGGCACGUGGGCCGUGGCCCGGCUGGGUCGGCUGAAGAACUGCGGAUGGAAGCUGCGGAAGAGGCCCUGAUGGGGCCCACCAUCCCGGACCCAAGUCUUCUUCCUGGCGGGCCUCUCGUCUCCUUCCUGGUUUGGGCGGAAGCCAUCACCUGGAUGCCUACGUGGGAAGGGACCUCGAAUGUGGGACCCCAGCCCCUCUCCAGCUCGAAAUCGUUGAUUAGGAAUCAGCCAACUGUGUUCCCUGGGUGCUCAGAAAUCACAGCCCAUAUCCUCGAGAGGCCAAAAUGAGAGCCAGGGGGUUCCAAGAUGAGUGGCUGCUUCUGGCCGGGAGCAGGUUUUCAAGUCAUUAGAACACUCUGGCCUUUCCUGGAGGUGAUCUUGGAGCCAUUCCUGCCCCUUUCAAGAGGAGUUAAUGCCCAGCUCUGUUUAGAGAAAAUUGGGGGAGAUGAUUGCUCAUGUGGGUGAUAAGAAUCACCUCCCGUGCAGGGGUCUGCAUAGAACACUCCAUAGGCAAACCUGGGUGUCCAAGGCACGUGGCAUUUUGCAAACUCUGGGUGCAGCUCCGAGCUGUCCUGCAGGUCCCAGACCAGCCUCCACAGCCACGGGGACACCCUGCACCUAUUCCCACGGGACAGGCUGGACCCAGAGACUCUGGACCCGGGGCCUCCCCUUGAGUAGAGACCCGCCCUCUGACUGAUGGACGCCGCUGACCUGGGGUCAGACCCGUGGGCUGGACCCCUGCCCACCCCGCAGGAACCCUGAGGCCUAGGGGAGCUGUUGAGCCUUCAGUGUCUGCAUGUGGGAAGUGGGCUCCUUCACCUACCUCACAGGGCUGUUGUGAGGGGCGCUGUGAUGCGGUUCCAAAGCACAGGGCUUGGCGCACCCCACUGUGCUCUCAAUAAAUGUGUUUCC
ensembl:lncRNA MEG3 maternally expressed 3